GAUGAACGCUGGCGGCGUGCCUAAUACAUGCAAGUCGAGCGAACAGACGAGGAGCUUGCUCCUCUGACGUUAGCGGCGGACGGGUGAGUAACACGUGGAUAACCUACCUAUAAGACUGGGAUAACUUCGGGAAACCGGAGCUAAUACCGGAUAAUAUAUUGAACCGCAUGGUUCAAUAGUGAAAGACGGUUUUGCUGUCACUUAUAGAUGGAUCCGCGCCGCAUUAGCUAGUUGGUAAGGUAACGGCUUACCAAGGCAACGAUGCGUAGCCGACCUGAGAGGGUGAUCGGCAACACUGGAAAUGAGACACGGUCCAGACUCCUACGGGAGGCACCAGUAGGAAUUCUUCGGCAAGGGGCGAAAGCCUGACGGAGCAACGCCGCGUGAGUGAUGAAGGGCUUCGGAUCGUAAAACUCUGUUAUUAGGGAAGAACAAAUGUGUAAGUAACUAUGCACGUCUUGACGGGACCUAAUCAGAAGGCCACGGCAACCUACGU
rnacentral:rRNA from 1 species